rnacentral:pre_miRNA from 1 species
CAUGUACUCCCUCCGUCCCAAAAUUCUUGUCUUAAAUUUGUCUAAAUACGGAUGUAUCAAGUCACGUUUUAGUAUUAGAUACAUUCGUAUCUAGACUAAUCUAAGACAAGAAUUUUGGAACGGAGGGAGUAUUCA